rnacentral:rRNA from 1 species
GACCUCAGAUCAGGUAGGAAUACCCGCUGAACUU